rnacentral:tRNA from 1 species
CGGGGCGUAGUCUAGCUUGGCUAGGAUGGAGGCCUCGGGGGCAGACCCGGGUUCAAAUCCCGGCGCCCCCA